rnacentral:rRNA from 1 species
UACAGAGACCUCAAGCAUUAUCCGGAUUUAUUGGGCGUAAAGGGUCCGCAGGUGGCCUUGUACGUCUCGCGUUAAAUACCAAGGCUCAACUUUGGCACCGCGCGAGAUACGGCUCGGCUAGAGAACGGGAGAGGCAAGCAGAAUUACUGGUGUAGUAGUAAAAUGCGUUAAUAUCAGUAAGAAUACCAAAUGCGAAGGCAACUUGCUGGAACGUUUCUGACACUCAGGGACGAAAGCGUGGGUAGCGAAAGGG